rnacentral:tRNA from 1 species
UGGCUCAGUCGGUAGAGCACAAGACUCUUAAUCUUGGGGUUGUGAGUUUCAGUCCCAU